UGACUCAUUGGAAAAGACCCUGAUGCUGGGAAAGAUUGAAGAGUAAGGGAGAGAAAUUGAGAAAGAAAUUACAAAAUCUCUACCAAUGAUUCCAUCUCGCAGAAACAGCCCCUUGUUUUAUCGAGACAUUGAGUCUCUGGCUUCUGUGAAGGUUCUCACCUCCACGGGACUGGCUGAAGGCGGAGAGGCAGCGCUAGCUGCUUUUCCCAGUGUGAAUCCAGCCCACCGUAGCCAGCGGGACUUCGGCUUCCAUGAUGGCCACCCUCCCAGGUCUGCAGAGAGACCUUCUCCCCUCAGACCUUCUUUCUGUUCUUCCCUCUCCGACUCCUUGGUCUACUGAAGCCCUGGAGGGCCCCCGGGGUCCUUCCUCUUCUAGGGCUGUCAUUCAUCUUUGCUUCUGGGGCUCAUGCAAGGACUUAAGGGAUGUCUCCUCUGCCCCACUGUGGGGGAAAUGUCUCAACGACAGUCAAACCUUUCGUGUGUGCCUCUGGCAUGAGCUCUGCCACUUCCUUCUUUACCUCAAAUCUCCCUCCUCUUCCCCCUUGAGUGGUAGUGCCUUCACUUGUCUUGGCCUUGGAGAGUGUAGGUUCCAGGAAAUGCGGGAUGAGAGUGGAAUGGGACAUCUAUUCCCCACAAGUAGAUAAACUGACCUUCCUCAUUGCCAUGAACAGAGAUUUGUUGUUGUUUCACUUGCUAAGUUAUGCCUGACU